rnacentral:rRNA from 1 species
CUAAGCUUGACAUCCUUUUGACCGAUGCCUAAUCGCAUCUUUCCCUUCGGGGACAGAAGUGACAGGUGGUGCAUGGUUGUCGUCAGCUCGUGUCGUGAGAUGUUGGGUUAAGUCCCGCAACGAGCGCAACCCUUGCCUUUAGUUGCCAGCAUUAAGUUGGGCACUCUAGAGGGACUGCCAGGGAUAACCUGGAGGAAGGUGGGGAUGACGUCAAAUCAUCAUGCUCCUUAUGCUUAGGGCUACACACGUGCUACAAUGGAUGGUACAGAGGGCAGCCAAGUCGUGAGGCGGAGCUAAUCCCUUAAAGCCAUUCUCAGUUCGGAUUGUAGGCUGAAACUCGCCUACAUGAAGCUGGAGUUACUAGUAAUCGCAGAUCAGAAUGCUGCGGUGAAUGCGUUCCC